UGCAAAUCAUUGUAUUCUGUUUUUAUUUACCAUUUUCACAACGUGCCAACUUCACUGCUUUUGGGUUUUGUAAAAUGAGUUUAUGUUUAAAGUGUUUACAAAAAAGUACACAUUUACAUCACUUUGUUCCAAUUUAGAGCUAAAAAAAAGGGUCUGGGACAUUGCCUUCUUUAAGAAUAUUCCUCAUUUACUUGUGUUGUACAUUCAAGGUAACGUUCAAGUCAGUCUUCCUGAAGCAUGUGCUCACAUCCUGAGGAGAUAUUGUAGCUCCCCUCUUGUGUUUCAGCCUCGUAAUGUGCGCCUCCCACUACUCCCUUCGGAGCGCCGUGCAUUCCAUGCCCACAGCUAAUGUGUAAGAGUGAAGUUUCCCACAGUCAUCUUUGCACGGACCCCAUCGCUGCCACAUAACAGCCCACGCCGCCGCCUUUCAGGAAACCAUCGGCGUUUUAAGGCAGCCAACGGAAGCCGAGUCACAUGGACCGGAGCUGCAAUCAGAGAGAGGUUCUCAAGCCCGAGGGGUGGGGGGGUGCACAGGAAGGCAAGUUGCUCAACUUUUUCUUCUUCUCCUUCGCCAUGGCACAUGCGUCGUAUCGAUAAAGAGCGCUUGUGAGCACAGCUGCCACCGCAAAAACCCCUGACGAAACACUCCCUUCACGCUCUUGGCCCUCUGUGAUCAGCAGACUCACUGGAGAGGAAACCAGUCAACAAACACGCCCUUCCUGCCCAACAUAUAUAUUUUACAUCCUAAUAGAAUACGUCUUCAAUCUUGCUCGUAUGGCUUUGAGGAAUUAGCAACUUGAUUGAUAUUAACCCACAAAACUCUUUAUUUUCCGGACCAUAGGGCGCACUGCCGAUGAAUUUGAUCUGUUUUUAUAUAUAAGGCGCACCGGAUUAUAAGGCACAUUAAAGGAGUCAUAUUAUUAUUAGAGAUGUCCGAUAAUGGCUUUUUUGCCGAUAUCCGAUAUUGUCCAACCCUUAAUUACUGAUUCCGAUAUCAACCGAUAUAUACAGUCGUGGAAUGAACACAUUAUUAUGCCUAAUUUUGUUGUGAUGCCCCGCUGGAUGCAUUAAACAAUGUAACAAGGUUUUCCAAAAUAAAUCAACUCCAGUUAUGGAAAAAAGUGCCAACAUGGCACUGCCAUAUUUAUUAUUGAAGUCACAAAGUGCAUUCUUUUUUUUUUAACAUGCCUCAAAA